rnacentral:rRNA from 1 species
CCUACGGGGGGCAGCAGUGGGGAAUAUUGGACAAUGGGGGGAACCCUGAUCCAGCGACGCCGCGUGAGUGAAGAAGUAUUUCGGUAUGUAAAGCUCUAUCAGCAGGGAAGAAAAUGACGGUACCUGACUAAGAAGCCCCGGCUAACUACGUGCCAGCAGCCGCGGUAAUACGUAGGGGGCAAGCGUUAUCCGGAUUUACUGGGUGUAAAGGGAGCGUAGACGGUGCAGCAAGUCUGAUGUGAAAGGUCGGGGCCCAACCCCGGGACUGCAUUGGAAACUGUUGAACUGGAGUACAGGAGAGGUAAGCGGAAUUCCUAGUGUAGCGGUGAAAUGCGUAGAUAUUAGGAGGAACACCAGUGGCGAAGGCGGCUUACUGGACUGUAACUGACGUUGAGGCUCGAAAGCGUGGGGAGCAAACAGGAUUAGAUACCC